rnacentral:rRNA from 1 species
GCGAGUCGAGCGAUGACCACUUCGGUGGGGAUUAGUGGCGAACGGGUGAGUAACACGUGGGCAAUCUGCCCUGCACUCUGGGACAAGCCCUGGAAACGGGGUCUAAUACCGGAUAAGACUCCUGCACUCGUGUGUGGGGGUUAAAAGCUCCGGCGGUGCAGGAUGAGCCCGCGGCCUAUCAGCUUGUUGGUGAGGUAAUGGCUCACCAAGGCGACGACGGGUAGCCGGCCUGAGAGGGCGACGGGCCACACUGGGACUGAGACACGGCCCAGACUCCUACGGGAGGCAGCAGUGGGGAAUAUUGCACAAUGGGCGAAAGCCUGAUGCAGCGACGCCGCGUGAGGGAUGACGGCCUUCGGGUUGUAAACCUCUUUCAGCAGGGAAGAAGCGCAAGUGACGGUACCUGCAGAAGAAGCGCCGGCUAACUACGUGCCAGCAGCCGCGGUAAUACGUAGGGCGCAAGCGUUGUCCGGAAUUAUUGGGCGUAAAGAGCUCGUAGGCGGCUUGUCACGUCGGGUGUGAAAGCCCGGGGCUUAACCCCGGGUCUGCAUUCGAUACGGGCUAGCUAGAGUGUGGUAGGGGAGAUCGGAAUUCCUGGUGUAGCGGUGAAAUGCGCAGAUAUCAGGAGGAACACCGGUGGCGAAGGCGGAUCUCUGGGCCAUUACUGACGCUGAGGAGCGAAAGCGUGGGGAGCGAACAGGAUUAGAUACCCUGGGUAGUCCACGCCGUAAACGGUGGGAACUAGGUGUUGGCGACAUUCCACGUCGUC